rnacentral:misc_RNA from 1 species
UAUCAUUAUAGUAAAAUUUUUGUUAACGAUCCGUAUAAUGGUCGUUGCGGGAACGUUUUUAAUAACUGGUGCUCUUAUGGUUACACUUUAUUUAGGUGUGAAAUAUUUGAUAGACAUGGAUAGUCAGAUAAAUGACAUACCAAUUACGAAUUUAACAGGAUUAGGGUAAUAUGUGAUCGUAAAUUUGACACCGUGCACUUGUUGUGGUUAUAAGUUAUAUAUUAUCAAUUUUGGUACCUAUUUCACAAUGUUAUAGAUUGUUAUGAAAAUUAUAUUUUUGUGA